UACGAAGGGGGCUAGCGUUGCUCGGAAUUACUGGGCGUAAAGCGCACGUAGGCGGCUUUCUAAGUCGGGGGUGAAAUCCUGGAGCUCAACUCCAGAACUGCCUCCGAUACUGGAAAGCUUGAGUCCGGGAGAGGUGAGUGGAACUGCGAGUGUAGAGGUGAAAUUCGUAGAUAUUCGCAAGAACACCAGUGGCGAAGGCGACUCUUUGGUCUGUAACUGACGCUGAGGCGCGAAAGCGUGGGGAGCAAACAGG
rnacentral:rRNA from 1 species